AGCUCAUCUUAGCUGCCAACUUGGGAAACUGAUGCUCUCAAAACCGAGAUGUCCCAUUUGCCGUAAGGGCAGACCAACAAGUUUUUCUAUUUUUGAGCUACCUACCUCUUUUUAAUAGGGGUGACUCCUCCAAUUGCCAGGGAGAAAUUGUGGCAGCUGGAGUGAGAGCGUAGGAACAGCAAAGCAAAGCAAAGA
ensembl:snoRNA